rnacentral:rRNA from 1 species
AUUGAACGCUGGCGGCAGGCCUAACACAUGCAAGUCGAACGAGUGGCGGACGGGUGAGUAAUGUCUGGGAAACUGCCCGAUGGAGGGGGAUAACUACUGGAAACGGUAGCUAAUACCGCAUACCAUCGGAUGUGCCCAGAUGGGAUUAGCUAGUAGGUGGGGUAACGGCUCACCUAGGCGACGAUCCCUAGCGGGUCUGAGAGGAUGACCGGCCACCCUGGGACUAAGACACGGUCCAGACUCCUAAGGGAGGCAGCAGUGGGGAAUAUUACACAAUGGGCGCAAGCCUGAUGCAGCCAGGCCGCGUGUAUGAAGAAGGCCUUCGGAUUGUAAAGAACUUUCAGCGAGGAAGCGUUACUCGCAGAAGAAGCACCGGCUAACUCCGUGCCAGCAGCCGCGGUAAUUC